rnacentral:SRP_RNA from 1 species
GCCGGGAACAGUGGCACAUGCCUGUAGUCACUGCUACUUGGGAGGCUGAGGUGGGAGGUUUGCUUGAGCCCAGUUCUGGGCUGUAGUGUGCUAUGCUAAUCGGGUGUCCACACUAAGUUUGGCAUCAAUAUGGUGACCUCCCUGGAGCGGGGGACCACCAGGUUGCCUAAGGAGGGGUGAACUGGCCCAGGUUGGAAACGGAGCAGGUCAAAAUCCCGUGCUGAUCAGUAGUGGGAUCACGCCUGUGAAUAGCCACUGCACUCCAGCCUGGGCAACAUAGUAAGACCCUGUCUCU